rnacentral:tRNA from 1 species
GGGGCUGUGGCUCAGUGGUAGAGCACUUACCUAGCAUGUGUGAGGCACCAGAUUCAAGUCUCAGCACCA